GAAACUGGCAGUAAUACCGGAUAACAUCUUCGGAUCAAAUGGUGUGAUUCCGCUCGAGGAUCGGACCGCGUACUAUUAGCUUGUUGGCGGGGUAAUGGCCCACCAAGGCUGCGAUGGUUACCGGGUGUGAGAGCAUGGCCCGGCUCACUGGGACUGAGACACUGCCCAGACAUCUACGGAUGGCUGCAGUCGAGAAUCUUCGGCAAUGGACGAAAGUCUGACCGAGCGACGCCGCGUGCGGGAUGAAGGCCCUCGGGUUGUAAACCGCUGUCAGUUAGGAGGAAAUCCAUGGGGGUUCUCCCUCAUGGUUGACCGAUUUUCAGAGGAAGGACGGGCUAAGUUCGUGCCAGCAGCCGCGGUAACACGAACCGUCCAAACGUUAUUCGGUAUCACUGGGCUUAAAGCGUGCGUAGGCGGCUUGGUAGGUGAGAUGUGAAAGCCCACGGCUCAACCGUGGAAUAGCGUCUCAAACCCUCAAGCUCGAGGAAGAUAGGGGUGAUGGGAACUUAUGGUGGAGCGGUGAAAUGCGUUGAUAUCAUAGGGAAC
rnacentral:rRNA from 1 species